GGGGAAUAUUGGACAAUGGGCGCAAGCCUGAUCCAGCCAUGCCGCGUGGAUGAUGAAGGCCCUAGGGUUGUAAAGUCCUUUUAACGGGGAAGAUAAUGACGGUACCCGUAGAAUAAGCCCCGGCUAACUUCGUGCCAGCAGCCGCGGUAAUACGAAGGGGGCUAGCGUUGCUCGGAAUUACUGGGCGUAAAGCGCACGUAGGCGGGUCGAUAAGUCGGGGGUGAAAUCCUGGAGCUCAACUCCAGAACUGCCUUCGAAACUGUCGAUCUUGAGUUCGGGAGAGGUGAGUGGAACUGCGAGUGUAGAGGUGAAAUUCGUAGAUAUUCGCAAGAACACCAGUGGCGAAGGCGGCUCGCUGGCCCGAUACUGACGCUGAGGUGCGAAAGCGUGGGGAGCAAAC
rnacentral:rRNA from 1 species